CCUACGGGCGGCAGCAGUGGGGAAUAUUGCACAAUGGGGGAAACCCUGAUGCAGCGACGCCGCGUGAGCGAUGAAGUAUUUCGGUAUGUAAAGCUCUAUCAGCAGGGAAGAAAAUGACGGUACCUGACUAAGAAGCCCCGGCUAACUACGUGCCAGCAGCCGCGGUAAUACGUAGGGGGCAAGCGUUAUCCGGGUUUAUGGGGGGUAAAGGGAGCGUAGACGGUCCUGCAAGGCAGAUGGGAAAGCCGGGGGCUCAACCCCGGUACUGCAUUUGGAACUGGAAGGCUAGAGUGGCGGAGAGGCAGGCGUAAUUCCUGGUGUAGCGGUGAAAUGCGUAGAUAUUAGGAAGAACACCAGUGGCGAAGGCAGCCUGCUGGACGAUGACUGACGUUGAGGCUCGAAAGCGUGGGGAGCGAACAGGAUUAGAUACCCCUGUAGUC
rnacentral:rRNA from 1 species